rnacentral:rRNA from 1 species
GAUGAACGCUGGCGGCGUGCUUAACACAUGCAAGUCGAACGAAGCAUUUGCGACAGAUUUUUUCGGAAUGAAGUUGCUUAUGACUGAGUGGCGGACGGGUGAGUAACGCGUGGGUAACCUGCCUUGUACUGGGGGAUAGCAGCUGGAAACGGCUGGUAAUACCGCAUAAGCGCACAAUGUUGCAUGACAUGGUGUGAAAAACUCCGGUGGUAUAAGAUGGACCCGCGUCUGAUUAGCUAGUUGGUGAGAUAACAGCCCACCAAGGCGACGAUCAGUAGCCGACCUGAGAGGGUGACCGGCCACAUUGGGACUGAGACACGGCCCAGACUCCUACGGGAGGCAGCAGUGGAGAAUAUUGCACAAUGGAGGAAACUCUGAUGCAGCGACGCCGCGUGAGUGAAGAAGUAAUUCGUUAUGUAAAGCUCUAUCAGCAGGGAAGAUAGUGACGGUACCUGACUAAGAAGCUCCGGCUAAAUACGUG